AUUGAACGCUGGCGGCAUGCCUUACACAUGCAAGUCGAACGGUAACGGGCCUUCGGGUGCCGACGAGUGGCGAACGGGUGAGUAACAUAUCGGAACGUACCUUUCAGUGGGGGAUAACGUAGCGAAAGUUACGCUAAUACCGCAUAUUCUGCGCGCAGGAAAGAAGGGGACCUUGGGGCCUUGCGCUGAUUGAGAGGCCGAUAUCAGAUUAGCUAGUUGGUGUGGUAAAUGCUCACCAAGGCGACGAUCUGUAGCGGGUCUGAGAGGAUGAUCCGCCACACUGGAACUGAGACACGGUCCAGACUCCUACGGGAGGCAGCAGUGGGGAAUUUUGGACAAUGGGGGCAACCCUGAUCCAGCCAUGCCGCGUGAGUGAAGAAGGCCUUCGGGUUGUAAAGCUCUUUCGGCCGGGAAGAAAUCGUAUGGGCUAAUACCCUGUGCGGAUGACGGUACCGGCAUAAGAAGCACCGGCUAACUACGUGCCAGCAGCCGCCGUAAGAC
rnacentral:rRNA from 1 species